GGAGUUGGAGCUCGGCAGGGACUCGGACCAGCAGGCAGUAGUGAAGUCGGUGCGCCCGGUCACGUCACCGAUGUUAUCCUCACAUCCCUGCAUGCUGGCGGCGGGGAAGCCGUCGGAGACCCGAGGCGGCGAGAAGUAGUGGAUCCCGAACGAGUCCGACGAGGACGAGCCGGCCGCGCUCGAGGUUUCCGAGCUCAGCUUGGUGGGCCCGGUCACGUCACCUUUGUUAUCCUCACAUCCCUGCAUGCUGGCGGUGGGGAAGCCGUCGGAGACCCGAGGCGGCGAGAAGUAGUGCAUCCCGAACGAGUCCGACGAGGACGAGCCGGCCGCGCUCGAGGUCUCCGAGCUCAGCUUCACCCUGGCGAGCUCCGUGGCGGGGUCUUCUGGCCGGUGGCUUGUGGCCGGAGAGACCGUGGAGUUUCCGGAGGCCGCCCGGAUUCGUUCCACGAGGCGGGGUAUCCACAGGUACCGCAUCACGUCCUUGAA
rnacentral:lncRNA from 1 species